rnacentral:rRNA from 1 species
UACAGAGACUGCAAGCGUUAUUCGGAUUCACUGGGCGUAAAGGGUGCGCAGGCGGCCGAGUGUGUGAGGCGUGAAAGCCCUGGGCUUAACCCCGGAAUUGCACCUCAAACUACACGGCUAGAGCAUUGGAGAGGGUAGCAGAAUUCAUGGUGUAGCAGUGAAAUGCGUAGAUAUCAUGAGGAAUACCAGAGGCGAAGGCGGCUACCUGGACAAUUGCUGACGCUCAGGCACGAAAGCGUGGGGAGCAAAAGGG